rnacentral:lncRNA from 1 species
AUUCCAACUGGCCUUCGCAGUUAGCCACUUUCUGCUCAAUGAUUGUUAGUGCUCAAUCUGAUGCUAUUUAGUCUUUUGCUUGGAAGCCCCAAGCAGGGAAGAGUCUCUCUCUACUGGGAACUCCAAUUCAGUAGGGUUCCCCAGACAACGCUGUUUGCCUGGUAUAUCGUUUGCUCCAUCAGUCAGCCAGCUCCUGCCAUCUCAGAUAGAUGUUAUGAACACCUAUUUGAUGGUGUUUUAUGUUUCACCUGCUUUUUUUUUUAUCUGCUACUUGCUAAUUAUUCUUUUUCUCUUUCUUGCUAUAUAUAAGUUCACUUAUUCAAAACCAAAAUUACUGUGGCAAAUAUUGUAGAUUGCUCUCUGGACCAUACAGAACAUUUAUUAUGUUAUUUGAGAAACAUGAUUGUAAAUGCAUCCUUAAACAUCUGUGUCAAUCCCUCACUGUUCAAUACAACUGGUGACAGCUGACUUUAAAUGUAACCUCCUGACUCACCAUCUCACUGAGACUUCAAUGGGUGCUUUAUUUUUGAGAGCCCAUUAACUAAAUGCAUAAAGUUGAGGAGUCCCUGGGUCUCUGUCUCACAGUUAUAGUUGAGUGACACUUGCUAAUGAGUCCUCUGUUGCAUUUGUAUAUGCUUCAAUCUUCCAGUUUCAGCCACCCUUCAAGGUAAUAUCUAUGCUCUGAGGUGAGAAGAUCACAUGCUAAUAAGAGCUGAAAUACUUUUCCAAAGGAGCUAAUGCCAGACUGAUUGAUCUACUGAUGUCUGCCUUGAUAAAAUGAAUGAUACUCAGCCUUCACAAUCAGAGGUACAAGAGAGCAAGCUUAUCCAUGAGGGAUUUAGCUUCCCUUCUGCCAGCGUUCAAUCCAGAAAGCAAUUUCCAGCAAAGCCCCAUACCAGGUUGCUAGGGAAGACAAAAUCCAUGUAGUGGAUUGUGGUGGACACUCUGCCCUCAGCAAGGCAUAUGCUGCUUCUACAGCAUGGAAAUAACUUUCUAUUUCAAUUAAAAGCAAAGCCUGUGGCUCCCUGUGACUUCCUUCCAAACCAAGAGAAGCUUAAGGCACACACAACUUUAUAAACUCUUUGUAAUAGGGAAAACCAAAAUACCUUGCUUAGAACCAUCUUCACAUAAAUUAACACUUUACAGUUAUAGGAUAUGAUUCUGAAGCAGCAGCUGAAAAAUCCAGUUCAAUUCCGUUAGUAGCUAAAGCUGGAUUGAGCUGAUAGGACAGCCAACAAGAUGGUGCCCCAAUGACUUUCAUCACUGGCUCGCAUUAUCUAGUGGUUCAGCUACCUUGUCCACCCAGCCUGUAAUGUAAGAGUUUUGCCUAAUGUUCCUUGACUCUCCAACUCCACUUCAUCUAAUUUCUCCAAGUGUCAAACCACACCUCUUUGGGAUUCCAUAGACUGAAGUUUAAUGGAAUGGUUUUUUUAUUGUUGUUUUGUUUUGUUUUGUCUUUUUUUUUUUUUGCCAUGCAUACACUAUGUUGGAAACAUAAAUAGACAUGUCUUUACAUAGUAUCAGAAUUUAUUGAAUAACAAUAGAUUCUUACAAUAAAAAAUAUAGGUUAAAGUAUAGGUUCAAUAGUGUCAAUUUGCCACAUAUUCCUCCAUUCCUCAUUCAUUUAUUCCAAAUUUAAUUACUAGUAUUAGCCUUCAGAUCAUGCAUUUCACACCACACAGUAAUUUUAGCCCUAAGCAUAUGUGUCCAGGUUGCAGAAUGGUUGAAAAUGUUAAAUAUACAUGACCUCUCAGCAAUUUCAAAUAGGCUGUGGAGGCCAAGGUUGGGAAAUAAGUAAGGAUGCAAAGGGAUCUGUAUUGAUAAAAGCAAACUGAGCCAAGCUGGAGAGACGGGGAAGAAGCUGCGUGACUGCUGGCUGUUGGCUGCAGGGUCAGAGUUGAGCUGGAGAAGUGAGGGGAAGG